rnacentral:rRNA from 1 species
UACGGGGGGGGGCAAGCGUCGUUCGGAAUUACUGGGCGUAAAGGGCUCGUAGGCGGCCAACUAAGUCGGAUGUGAAAUCCCCAGGCUUAACCUGGGAACUGCAUCCGAUACUGGAUGGCUUGAAUCCGGGAGAGGGAUGCAGAAUUCCAGGUGUAGCGGUGAAAUGCGUAGAUAUCUGGAGGAAUACCGGUGGCGAAGGCGGCAUCCUGGACCGGCAUUGACGCUGAUGAGCGAAAGCUAGGGGAGCAAACGGG